GGGGCAGUAGCUCAGUUGGGAGAGCACUUGAAUCGCACUCAAGAGGUCGCCAGUUCAAAUCUGGUCUGCUCCA
rnacentral:tRNA from 1 species